rfam:Bacteroides sp. CAG:1060 genomic scaffold, scf111
GCCUUGGUGGUGGAAUGGUAGACACGAGGGACUUAAAAUCCCUUGGACAGAAAUGUCCGUGUGAGUUCGAGUCUCAUCCGAGGCA